rnacentral:tRNA from 1 species
GGACUGUAGCUCAGUGGGAGAGUGCUUGCCUAGCACAUGGGAGGCACUGGGUUCAAUCCUCAGCACCA